rnacentral:rRNA from 1 species
GUCCACGCCCUAAACGAUGGCAACUAGGUGUUGGGGGAGGAGACUCUCUUAGUACCGUAGCUAACGCGUGAAGUUGCCCGCCUGGGGAGUACGGUCGCAAGAUUAAAACUCAAAGGAAUUGACGGGGACCCGCACAAGCGGUGGAUGAUGUGGAUUAAUUCGAUGCAACGCGAAAAACCUUACCUACCCUUGACAUGCCAGGGACCUUGGUGAGAGCCGAGGGUGCCCGAAAGGGAGCCUGGACACAGGUGCUGCAUGGCUGUCGU